AUAUAACGCUUCAUAAAUUUAUAAUAAAACAGGAGCAUGUUAAUAAUUCGGAGAAGCCGAGUUCACGUUCGGCUUUACAUUCGGUUUUACAUGUUGCCUUAAUUACUGGGGGUGAUCUCAGGUGCUCCGGAAGGGUAAGCAGAUUCUGCUCCACAUGUGGCACCCGUCGUGUUGCUCACGUUAGUACAAACCAGGUGAUAAAUCUAGUUCGGUAAGUCACAUUCGGGGAUUCAUUCUGAGACAAAAAAAAAAAUUAGAAACAAAAUAUACCUACCAUGAUUGUUAUUCUUUUUAGGUCAUAUUGCCCCUCCUGCAUUAAUGAAGUAAAUGAGUUCCUGUUGAAGAGUAAUUUUCUAUUCUUUCUUUUACACACGAACAAAGUAGAUGCAAAGAGAACCAAUAUGACACAACAACAAAGGCCCACAUCUUAAACAAGUGGUAAUAGAUUUAAAUAUAUCUUUUACAUCAAUAUGUGCGAUAUAAAUAGCAUCAGUUUUGUUUUUAAAGAUGUGCGAUAUACAAGUUACAUCCGGGUUAAUAUGCAUGGUCAUAUUUACCCAAAAACAAUAAAAAGUGCGAUAUAAAAGUUACUUCCGGGUUAGUAUGCAUUGUCAUGUCCACAAAGAAACAAUAAAAAGGAACCAAGUAGAUGAAUGAAGAACAUAUAUGACACAGGAACUACAAAUUCAACACACAAGUUAACAGAUUUUGAAUGUAUAAAUGACAUUGAUAUGUGGGAUUAAAAUAGAAUUUGUUUUCUAAAAAGGAGUGUAAAACUCCUUUGAUAAAAAGGUUAUUUCCGGGUCAUUUUUCAUGGUCAAAUAAAACUAAAUGCAAUAAAAAGGUUUUAGAACAAGAGUAUUGGAUAUAAAAUUCAUAGCUAACUGUAAAGGAAUCAUCAGAGGAAUAUUGAAUGAGAUCUAUAAUGACAUUCUUGCAAAUUAUAUUACGUUACAGUCUCAUUUAUGUUGCUAUGUGUUUUAGUUUUAAAAAUAAUUGGGCGACAUUCUAUUUGGAUAUUAAUUCAACCUUAAAUAAAAUUGGCAAACAGGUUUCACUGACCUGGGAAGUAAAUCAUCAUUCGUCUGAAUUUAAUCUCGGUAGUAACAAUUCAAAAAUUGUUUGUGGAAGCAACGGAAGUAUAAAAAUAGAAUUAACAUUAACAAUUGCAGUCAGGAAACAACAAAACGGAAGUCUUAUUUGUUUAAAUCAUCUUAAUAAACAAAUUCGACAAGAACAGGAGUGCCAACAAUUCAAGCCGCAACCAUCACUUGCUGGUUUUGUCACCCAGUUUCCAUUAAAUUGGAUGUUUGAUGUAUACCAAGGGGAUCAGAUAGAGGUUACAGUAGUUGGUAAAUCGUUGAUAAAGAGAGUCAAAUCUUGGAAUAGACUGUUAUUGUAUUAUUUGUAGCCUAAAUAAACGAUAUUAAAGAAGGCUUGGAAACAUUUUCGAUGACUCAAUAUUCCAACACAAGUUAAGAGCAACGAUCAAAGAGGGCAGCUUUACAUUUAGUUUUACGUUGUUUGCUUAUAAAUGUUUUCAAAUGUGUUCAGCAAUAAAAUUAGAAGAACUAAAUUGAUAACGUUAGCUGUAUUUGACAAAACCUUUCGAUAUUGUUGGUCCCCAAUGGUCUUCAACUUCGUACUUUAUUUGGCAUGUUAACUGUAUUUUUUUCAAGCAGCAUUUGUGAGUCUUUUGUAGACGACACUCACGUCUUGUCUUCACUAUCAUAAGCCUGGUACUUUUAAUGAGUUUGUUUUUGUGUGCAUAAAAUCUGUAUUUCUUCAUGUUUGGUGUUGUCAGCUUCUUUUCGAAUAAAGAAUUUGGAAUGACCCUU